rnacentral:lncRNA from 1 species
AUGAAAAAGGGACCGAGGUGGAAGGAGCAAUCAUGGAGAGAGAGGACUCAUGAAUAGGCUUGGACGAGGAAGAAGAAGAAAAAUAGAUGAGAAAGAAGGAGAGGGAGAAGAAUGGGUCAUCGAUGAGGAAGAGAGAGGAUGAGGGCUCAUGGGAGGGCUUGAAGGAGAAGGAUGAUAAGAAGGAAGGGGAGGAGGGGACAGAGGAGUAGAAAGGUGGGACAUCGAUGAUGGAGAAGAGGAGCAAUCAGAGAUGAGGGAGGAGG